ensembl:lncRNA
AUGGAACGGUGUGGGUCAACACACAGCAACAUGGGUCAACACACAUCAACGUGGGUCAACACUCAUCAACGUGGGUCAACACAGAGCAACAUGGGUCAACUCACAUCAACGUGGCUCAACACACAUCAAUGUGGGUCAACACAGAGCGAUGUGGGUCAACACAUCAACAUGGGCCAACACAGAACGUGGGUCAACACAUCAGCGUGGGUCAACUCACAUCAACGUGGCUCAACACUCAUCAACGUGGGUCAACACAUAGCAAUGUUGGUCAACGCACAUCAAUGUGGGUCAAUACACAUCAACGUGGGUCAACGCACAUCAACGUGGGUCAACAUACAUCAAUGUGGGUCAACACAGAGCAACGUGGGUCAACUCACAUCAACGUGGGUCAACACACACCAGCAUGGGUCAACACAGAGCAACGUUGGUCAACGAACCUCAAUGUGGGUCAACACAGAACAACGUGGGUCAACUCACAGCAACGUGGGUCAACACACAUCAACGUGGGUCAACACACACCAGCAUGGGUCAACACAGAGCAACGUUGGUCAACGAACAUCAAUGUGGGUCAACACAGAGCAACGUGUCAACACAAAUCAACGUGGGUCAACACACAUCAACGUGGGUCAACACAUCAACGUGGGUCAACACAUCAACGUGGGCCAACACAGAACAACGUGGGUCAACACAGAACAACGUGGGUCAACACAGCAACGUGGGUCAACACAAAUCAACGUGGGUCAACACACAUCAAUGUGGGUCAACACACAUCGUGAGCCAACACAGAACAACGUGGGUCAACACAGAACAGCGUGGGUCAACACAUCAAUGUGGGCCAACACAGAACAACGUGGGUCAACACAGCAACGUGGGUCAACUCACAUCAACGUGGAUCAACACAGCAACGUGGGUCAACACAUCAAUGUGGGCCAACACAGAACAAUGUGGGUCAACACAUCAACGUGGGUCAACUCACAUCAACGUGGGUCAACACAGAGCAACAUUGGUCAACACAGAACAAUGUGGGUCAACACAUCAACGUGGGUCAACACAGAGCAAUGUUGGUCAACACAGAGCAACGUUGGUCAACUCACAUCAACGUGGGUUAACACAUCAACGUGGGUCAACUCACAUCAACGUGGGUCAACACAUCAAUGUGGGCCAACCCAGAACAACGCGGGUCAACACAGAACAACGUGGGCCAACACAAAACAACGUGGCUCAACUCAGAACAACGUGGGUCAACACAGAGCAAUGUGGGUCAACACAUCAAUGUGGGUCAACACAGAGCAAUGUGGGUCAACGCACAUCAACGUGGGUCAACAAAUCAACGUGGGUCAACACAGAACAACGUGGGUCAACACAAAACAAUGUGGGUCAACUCACAUCAACGUGGGUCAACACAGAACAACGUGGGUCAACACACAUCAAUGUGGGUCUGCUCUGUCCUUAAACCCCCCCCUGCCCCCCAAGUACCCCACAUCUCCCCCAUAUGGCCCCCAUAUCCCCUUACCACAGUGGAUGAACAUGUCCCUAAACCACCCCUGGCCCCCCAAGGACCCCACAUCCCCCCCAUAUCCCCACAUGGACCCCACAUCCCCCCCCUGCCCCCCAAGGACCCCCUAUCCCCCCACAUCCCCUUACCGGAGUGGAUGAACAUGUCCCUAUACACCCCACCCCCGACCCCCAAGGACCCCACAUCCCCCCAUAUCCCCCACAUCCCCUUACCCGAGUGGAUGAACAUGUGCUUGCUGUAGUUCUUCCUGGAGCUGAAUGUCUUCUGGCAAUGGCCGCACUGAUACGUCGGCUCAGGGCGUCGCGCUGUCCCGGCCCUUGACACCUUAUGGACCCCAAUGGGGGCUCCACCAACUGCCCCCCCUUCCCCAACCCCCUCCUCAUAAAGGGGCGGCACUUGGGGGGCGAAUCCCAAACUGCUCCCCCCACCUCCCAGCCCCACCUCAGUCCCAAAGGCCGGACCCCUCCCCACUUUACCCCCAUCAUCCCCCUGCCAAGGGGGCAGGAAGGCGUCAAAGACAUCGGGGGCAUCGAGAAACAGCGGCUCUUCAACAGGGAACGGCAUUGGGGGCACUGAGCCUUCAUCAUCAUCAUCAUCCUCCUCCUCUUUAAUAGGCAGCUGGAGCCUCAGGGGCUGCCUCUGCUUGCGGCUAUGGCAGCUGGGUGCCCCAUAGCAUCCUUCUGCUGGUGGGGCUGCCCCAUAGCACCCAUCGUGUCCUGAUGGUACCAAGAGCUUGUGAUGGGCAUCACCCCCAUCCGAUAACACAGGAGGGGCUGCCCCAUAGCACCCAUCGUGUUCUGAUGAUACCAAGAGCUCCUGGAGCUUGUGCUGAGCCUCAUCCGCAUCUGAUAACGCAGGAGGGGCUGCCCCAUAGCAGCCAUCAUGUCCUGAUGGUGGCACCAAGGGGGGCUGCCUCUGCUUAUGGCUAUGGGAGCUGGCUGCCCCAUAGCACCCACCGUGUUCAGGUGGCACCAAGGGGGUCUGCCUCUGUUUACAGCUGGGUGCCCCAUAGCACCCAUCAUCCUGUUCUGAUAGUGGGGCUGCCCCAUAGCACCCAUCGUGUUCAGGUGGCACCAAGAGCUCCUGGAGCUGGUGCUGAGCAUCAUCCCCAUCCGCUAACCCAGGAUGGUUCCGAGUGGU